rnacentral:rRNA from 1 species
UACGGAGGAUGCGAGCGUUAUCCGGAUUCAUUGGGUUUAAAGGGUGCGCAGGCGGGCCUUUAAGCCGGCGGUGAAAUCGCGGGGCUCAACCCCGCCGAGCCGUCGGAACUGGGGGCCUUGAGUGCGGCGGAGGCAUGCGGAAUGCAUGGUGUAGCGGUGAAAUGCUUAGAGAUCAUACAGAACACCGAUUGCGAAGGCAGCUUACCAAACUAUAUCUGACGUUGAGGCACGAAAGCGUGGGGAGCAAACAGG